rnacentral:rRNA from 1 species
UACGUAGGGUGCAAGCGUUAAUCGGAAUUACUGGGCGUAAAGCGCACGCAGGCGGUCUGUCAAGUCGGAUGUGAAAUCCCCGGGCUCAACCUGGGAACUGCAUCCGAAACUGGCAGGCUAGAGUCUUGUAGAGGGGGGUAGAAUUCCAGGUGUAGCGGUGAAAUGCGUAGAGAUCUGGAGGAAUACCGGUGGCGAAGGCGGCCCCCUGGACAAAGACUGACGCUCAGGUGCGAAAGCGUGGGGAGAAAACAGGAUGAGAUACCCGUGUAGUCC